AAAGAAAAUCAAGAUAAUGGUUUACUUUCUGGAAUGAUUUUCUAGAUGACAGCUUAUCCUUCCAUUAAUCUAGAGGUAAAAACAGGAAAAAGGGAAUUAAAGUCAAAAGCAGAGGAAAAGGCAUCCCAACUUUGGGGUGAUGGAAAGCUCCAACACAAGAGCUACCCUGCAGAACUAGAGAGCCAUCAGCCCAAAUGAGAGGAAGACAGAAGCUCAGGAAGAGAACUCUUCAGGAAGAUGAAACUUGUACCAGGAACUGAACUCAGGACCUUGCGCUUCCCUGGCAGGAAAUACUCUCUUGGAGAAACAACUUGUCACAUAAGAAGUCAGACUACCUUUAUCUCACCCGCUCUGGAAGUCACGUAAGGGUGCUCCAGUCAACAGUUCUAAACCAAGCCUUCUAGCCAUUCCCCCUGGGAUACCAGACAUGUAAGUGAAGCCAUGUUGAACCCUUCAGAUUACUCAUCUACCACUGAACACCACUAAGAAACUUCAGUCAAUGUCAUUUGGAGUAGAAGAAGUCAAAC
rnacentral:lncRNA from 1 species